rnacentral:rRNA from 1 species
CCCGCUGAACUUAAGCAUAUCAAUAAGCGGAGGAAAAGAAACUAACAAGGAUUCCCCUAGUAACGGCGAGUGAAGCGGGAAGAGCUCAAAUUUGGAAUCUGGCGCCUUCGGCGCCCGAGUUGUAAGCUAGAGAGGCGUUUUCGGCGGGCGCCCGGGUAUAAGUCCCCUGGAACUGGGCAUCAUAGAGGGUGAGAAUCCCGUCUUUGACCCGGAGCAGCCUGCUAUGUGAUACGUCUUCAAAGAGUCGGUUUGUUUGGGAAUGCAGACCAAAAUGGGUGGUAAAUUCCAUCUAAAGCUAAAUACAGGCGAGAGACCGAUAGCGAACAAGUACCGUGAGGGAAAGAUGAAAAGAACUUUGAAAAGAGAGUUAAACAGUACGUGAAAUUGUUGAAAGGGAACCGUUUGGAAUCAGCCUUGCCGGCUUGAAGUCAGCCUGUGGUGGCGACACCCUGGUGCAUUUUCUGCCGGCAGGUCAGCGUCAGUUUUGGUGGCCGGAAAACGACCUUGGGAAGGUGGCUCCGUUCGCGGAGUGUUAUAGCCCUUGGCCAGCGCGGUGACCGGGACUGAGGUCUGCAGCCAGCUGGGGUUCGUCCCUGGCGGGGGGCGCGAUCGCUGGGUGGGCUCCGAACGUUGACAGCUUGCUGUCCACGUUCGGGGGACGCCGCCCACACGACCGUGGUCCCUCCUCCUGGCUUAGGUCGCUGACUUAAUGAUUCUAAAUGACCCGUCUUGAAACACGG